rnacentral:rRNA from 1 species
AUCUGCAGUCAUACCAGCACUCAUGCACCAGAUCCCAUCAGAACUCCGCAGUUAAGCGUGCUUGAGCGAAAGUAGUACUUUCCUGGGAAGCCCUCGUGUUGCAACUU